UCCUACGGGAGGCAGCAGUGAGGAAUAUUGGACAAUGGGCGCAAGCCUGAUCCAGCCAUGCCGCGUGCAGGAUGAAGCAUCUAUGGUGUGUAAACUGCUUUUAUACGGGAAGAAACCCUGGGACGUGUCCCAGACUGACGGUACCGUAGGAAUAAGGAUCGGCUAACUCCGUGCCAGCAGCCGCGGUAAUACGGAGGAUCCAAGCGUUAUCCGGAAUCAUUGGGUUUAAAGGGUCCGUAGGCGGCCCUGUAAGUCAGUGGUGAAAUCUCCCGGCUCAACCGGGAAAUUGCCAUUGAUACUGCAGGGCUUGAAUUAUUGGGAAGUAACUAGAAUAUGUAGUGUAGCGGUGAAAUGCUUAGAUAUUACAUGGAAUACCGAUUGCGAAGGCAGGUUACUACCAAUACAUUGACGCUGAUGGACGAAAGCGUGGGUAGCGAACAGGAUUAGAUACCCUGGUAGA
rnacentral:rRNA from 1 species